rnacentral:misc_RNA from 1 species
GAUGAAGAACGUAGUGAAAUGCGAUAAGUAAUGUGAAUUGCAGAAUUCAGUGAAUCAUCGAAUCUUUGAACGCACAUUGCGCCCGCCAGUAUUCUGGCGGGCAUGCCUGUUCGAGCGUCAUUACAACCCUCAGGCCCCCGGGCCUGGCGUUGGGGAUCGGCGGAGCCCCCCGUGGGCACACGCCGUCCCCCAAAUGCAGUGGCGGUCCCGCCGCAGCUUCCAUCGCGUAGUAGCUAACACCUCGCGACUGGAGAGCGGCGCGGCCACGCCGUAAAACACCCAACUCUUCUGAAGUUGACCUCGAAUCAGGUAGGAAUACCCGCUGAACUUAAGCAUAUCAUAAGCGGAGGA